UACUGAAGACUGCAGAUUGAUAAGGG
rnacentral:piRNA from 1 species